UAUCGAAUGCAGUCGGCGUAGAACUUGGGAACCACGAUUCUUCGAUCAGAAGGCUCGUGACACUUCGAGGAUCGACACGCCCGCCAUUGUGGAGGGGUUCUGCAAAUUGCAAUGAAAUUGGGUUCUUCAGUCCGUUGAUCGAGUAUUUUUGUCAUCGGCUACGUUUGCUUUACGUGCGGGUUACCCCAUGAGACUAGAUAUAUAAUAAAGAAGAUUGCAAUUUCUGAAUAGAAUGUUUGAUGCCAAGCCCGCAGCUUUUACAUUCUCUGCUGACAUUUUAUGGCGCUUUGAGCGAGAUUAAGGGCCGUGGUUGUUUCGUUC